rnacentral:lncRNA from 1 species
UUGUUUCUCUGGAUUUUUGUUUGUUGUCUUCUCAGCACCCAGUUAUGUUUGCUCACAGCAGCCCAGGGUGCCACAGUCACCUGUACAAUUCCAUACGUUCAUAUCUCCUCAAUCAGAACAGAGCACAGCCCAUCAUUGGUCUGAACUCCAUCACAGAGGUUUUGGCAUAUAAUCAGCCUGCAUUGUACUUUUGUGAUGUCUGCAUUUUGAGGAUAACCAAGGCUGAUAUCAGGAACCACAUCAUGGGCAGCAUUCACAGAUACAAUUACAUUAAAUCUCAUCAUGCACAUGGGUGGACGUCUGAUACAGACCUGACUCUUUUGGCUCGCCCUCUAAUGGAUAUCGCAAAAAAGGUUGAAAAGAAGGAGGGAACAGGUGAUAUACAGGUUCUGAGUGUGGAUGCAGUCAUCUACAAGGAGAUGGCAUCAUUGCCAGUCCCUGAUGCUUUUGUUCAGAUGAAGAAGAUCAAGGAUCAGCCAAACCCCAAUGCACCUAAUUUGCUUGUUCACAACAGCCCGUCUGAAGGUAAAGAAACCAGUGCUCAAGAGCAGCAAGAGUCUGACAAUAUGAAUGGGACUGCACAACAUCCAACUUUAAGAUGUUUGGUCCCAACACAGUGUGUAUCUACGACACCAUCGAGGUCAAAGUGUUCAAGUUGGAUUGAACCCCAACACGUCUCAACCAAUCCAACACCAAAUCCAUCUCUCCAUAGAACCGCAGGUCCUGUCAAAACAUUAUUCACAUGCCAGGAUGUAUCUACACCUCAGAGUCUAGUGGAUUCUCAUGUUUCAUCUAGAAAACCUUUUCUAGAAAGCUCCCCAGCUCCAGUCCUCAGCCAACACAUAAAUCAGCAUCAACCAAUCCCAGUUAGAAGCCUUCAACGAUACAUAAUGCCAUCUGAAAACCAGUGUUGUACUGAAGCAAGGACAAUCUCUGUUGUAAGACCACCAAGACAGUGUAUCCCCAUCAGAAUUCUUGGCGAGAAUGACAUUGUGCAUGCUGGUGAAGAUGAUGGGAACAAUUCUGUCCAGUCAUUUGGAGUCAGCUAUGAAUCACAUCCAAUGCACCUGGCCCAAUCCAUUCCAUAUGAAAUCCAGCGGCAAACACCAUCUCUUUCAGUGAGCCACAUGGUACCAGAGUUAACCCAGGAUCUAUCAAACAGGCAUGGAUUUUUCAGGAUUGAAAGCUCACCUGAUAGUCCAGAGCCUGUCAGAGAUGUGGAGAUCGUUAUCAAGCAGAUCAGAACCCAAAUGCUAACAGAAGCACUGGAACCGGCCACAACGCAUGAUUUAAGUCUGUUCCAUGAUGAGUCUAAUUUACAAGAACCAAUCAACACCAGCUGGGAAGCACAUGAGGAGCCUCAAUCAGACACCUUAGCAGAGGAAAACACCUUUGUGUUCUCACAAAGUCCAAUUGCCCAGUCUCCUCUUACUCAGACUCAAAGUCCUUCUGAUCAGUUUCAAUCAAUAGAAGAUUUUCUAGAAAAUUACAAUGGUCGAAAGCCUCUUAUCGGUCUACAAGCUAUUAUUAAGUGCCAGAGCGUGGAUGGGAAUCCACCUCCGUGCUGUUACCUGUGUCAGCUGUGCUCUUUGAAGCUGAAGAAGAAAAAAAUAUUCCGCCAUUUGACUGGCUGUGAUCACCAGCGAAACUACUUAAAAGCUCUCCAUCCGAAGCUCUUGCCUAAAAAGCAUAAACACUGCAACACAAAUGAGAUGCUUGAGGAUAUUGCUAUCCAGCUGGAGAAAGAGGAUGGAAGAGGACAUAUUAAGGUGAUGAGGUUGUCUGCAUGUCUCAUGAGUGAGGUACUGGAAAAGGAUUAUCAUUGGUGCAUGAGGGUGUUGAACUGUGGAGCCGAUGUGGGGUGGAGAUCAGGUCUGUUGUCUUUAAAGGAAGGAACUAACAAAACCACAGGUUCAAGUCAGACUCUUAAACGUCCAGCAGAGUCUAUGCUGCCCCCUUCUGAUGCACGGGCUUUUAUAGCUCCUGCUGGAGCUCCAACCCAUCAGAUGUACCAAAAAAAUAAAGAAGGAUCAUCCUAA